GCGUUGUGUGCGGAACUAUGUUGUAACUAAAAGCAGAGGAGAAAAAUACAUUAGAAGUGAAGAGUGGAUAGUCCAUGAUCAGGAGAUAAUAAAAUUGUGUCAAGUAGUAAGAUAAGCAGUGCUUCAAUCGGUGGUAGUCUAUGUGAUUCUACAGCAAAAAAUUAUGUCUUCGGUGUAUUUCAAGCAUCACUCUCUACCCCAUUGAGUAAAAUUAAUUGUUAAUUUUUUUUCAAUCAUCAUUUGUAGAAUGUACAUUAGUAAUUUAUAAUCCACAACAUAUAUCAUGUGUCGUCAAACAAUAGAUCGUCUACAAGUAGGAAUUUUUAGAAUGAUAACCGUAUACCACUUGCUUAUGUAAAUAAUAGUAAGUUUGUGUAUCACACUAAAAUAAAAAAUUUGUAUUGGAUUA